GCCGGGUGCGGUGCAUGUGCCUGUAAUCCAAGUCACUGGGAGGCUGAGGUUGGUGGAUCAAGUGAGCUGAGGAGCUCUGGGCUGCAGCACGCUAUGUCGAACGGGUGUCCACGCUAAGUUCGGUAUCGAUAUGGUGUUCCUGGGGGAGCCCGGGACCACCAGGUUGUCUAAGGAGGGGUGAACCGGCCCAGGUCGGAAACGAAGCAGGUCAAAUCCCCCGUGCUGUCCAGUAGUGGGAUAAUACCUGUGAGUAGAUGCUGCAGUGCAGCCUUGGCAAAACAUCGAGACCUAAUCUUUU
rnacentral:SRP_RNA from 1 species